GUGAAUCAUCAAAUUUUUGAACGCAAAUUGCACUCUCCUCGGAGAGGAUGCCUGUUUGAGGGUCAGCCUAUAAAAAAUCGACAUCGUUGCUGCUGCGCUUUUUCGUUCGGCGGAAAUUGUGGCAUCUUAGAUCUUUUGGUUUUAAGCGACUUAAAAUUUUCUUUUUGAUUCCAUGAACUUUUCUAAGAUUUAUUUCUUUACACGUUUAAGUUAUCGAUUUUUAUUAGACGUGACCAUCAUAUCGGAUCGCGCCCAUAAUCGUUCAUGAACGGACCUCCG
rnacentral:misc_RNA from 1 species